GACGAACCGUGCGAACGUUGUUCGGAUUCACUGGGCUUAAAGGGCGCGUAGGCGGAUAAGCAAGUCCGGGGUGAAAUCUUUCGGCUCAACCGGAAAAGUGCCUUGGAUACUGCUUGUCUUGAGGGAGGUAGGGGUCAUGGGAACUUCCGGUGGAGCGGUGAAAUGCGUUGAUAUCGGAAGGAACGCCGGUGGCGAAAGCGCAUGACUGGAUCUCUUCUGACGCUGAGGCGCGAAAGCUAGGGGAGCAAACGGG
rnacentral:rRNA from 1 species